GUCUUCCUUUAAAACGUUCAAUUUCCGUAUAAAAGAGUAUCUCAUUCCUUCUUAUAGCAUUUCGAAUAAGAAGUAAGAACGUGUAUAACUUAAUUACACGAUGGCGAUAUCGGUUUACUUUAUCUUUUUCCUACUUGCUACAACUGAAAUCUGUUACCCCUCUCCUUUCGAACGGAAGAAACGAAGUAUCUACAAAUCAUAAG